UGGGCUUCAUGUAUCUGAAUUCCCUGAAGGAGAGAACCAGUAGAAUGUGUACAGAAACUGGAAAAGUUCUUGAGACCAAUCAACAAUACAAAGAACGGAAAACAUGUCUGUGAAGUCUGAUAAAAGCUAGCAAGAGAGAAGAGAAGGGGCAGUUGACUUCCCUGAGCUGGGACAAACAGCCACAACGAGCAGAUGAGAAACAACAGAGCAAUGAAGCCUCUUCAGAAAUUUCGUGACAUGGAAUUUGAACCACUUGGAUGGAGGAGAAGUGUCAUUGUCUAAUGGCACCAACAUCAUAGGUUUGGAACUUGAGUGACUGCCAUAAACUGGCCAAAGAGAAGCAGAUGGAUGAAAUUUAGUGUCUUCAGUCCAUGUUGCUGCUCUCAGUCGCUGUUUGUAAAGAAGAAAAGCAGGAGAGAAAGGGAGGAAAACAAGCAAGAGAGGAAACUGAAGCUUCAUGGAGUUCUUUACAUUAUACUGGAAUUCAGCCAGAGAUGGUAACUGAAGAGACAAGGACAACAACCCAGCUUUGGUCUGCACCCUUUAUCUGUAUGGGCACUGAAGGGUCACACACAUCACUGGCCUUCCCCUUGAACCACUCUGAAGACAUUCUGUUGGCCUUGGUUUGCUGAAUGUACAUGCUCGUCAAAGAAU
rnacentral:lncRNA from 1 species